UGGGGAAUAUUGGACAAUGGGCGAAAGCCUGAUCCAGCAAUGCCGCGUGUGCGAUGAAGGCCUGAGGGUUGUAAAGCACUUUCGUUGGGGAAGAAAUACUUAAAAUUAAUACCUUUAAGGGUUGACGUUACCCAAAGAAGAAGCACCGGCUAACUCUGUGCCAGCAGCCGCGGUAAUACAGAGGGUGCAAGCGUUAAUCGGAGUUACUGGGCGUAAAGGGCGCGUAGGCGGAUAUUUAAGUCGGAUGUGAAAUCCCUGGGCUUAACCUAGGAAUUGCAUUCGAUACUGGAUGUCUAGAGUAUGGCAGAGGAAAGCGGAAUUCCCGGUGUAGUGGUAAAAUACGUAGAUAUCGGGAGGAACACCAGUGGCGAAGGCGGCUUUCUGGUCCAAUACUGACGCUGAGGCGCGAAAGCGUGGGGAGCAAACAGG
rnacentral:rRNA from 1 species